UUUUUUUUUAAGCUAUAUUUAUGAUCUUUUCAUGCCUUUAUUGUGAGAGGACAGUAGAGAGCUGACAGGAAUGCACUGGGAGGAGAGAAGGGAGCAGGAUCGGCAAAGGACCUCGAGGCGGGAUUCGAACUCGGGUCGCCGUGAGCACAGUUGCGCUAUAUGUCGACACACUAACCACAAGGCUAUGGGCGCCGACUGUGCUUGUAAUAG